rnacentral:rRNA from 1 species
GACGAACGCUGGCGGCGUGCUUAACACAUGCAAGUCGAACGGAAAGGCCCUGCUUUUGUGGGGUGCUCGAGUGGCGAACGGGUGAGUAACACGUGAGUAACCUGCCCUUGACUUUGGGAUAACUUCAGGAAACUGGGGCUAAUACCGGAUAGGAGCUCCUGCUGCAUGGUGGGGGUUGGAAAGUUUCGGCGGUUGGGGAUGGACUCGCGGCUUAUCAGCUUGUUGGUGGGGUAGUGGCUUACCAAGGCUUUGACGGGUAGCCGGCCUGAGAGGGUGACCGGCCACAUUGGGACUGAGAUACGGCCCAGACUGCUACGGGAGGCAGCAGUGGGGAAUAUUGCACAAUGGGCGGAAGCCUGAUGCAGCAACGCCGCGGGCGGGAUGACGGCCUUCGGGUUGUAAACCGCUUUCGCCUGUGACGAAGCGUGAGUGACGGUAAUGGGUAAAGAAGCACCGGCUAACUACGUG